CCUCGCAGCUUCCCUAUCUCAACUAUCAACUCAAAUAAAUAAGUAGCAGCAUCAAUGCUCAAUUCAGUAGGUCAUGCAGUCUCCUCAUCUCUCUCCUCAAAUCAAAAACUCUGGCACUAAGCUUGGCAACAGUAUAUUUAGACCGCUCAAUUCUUAUACUCAGAUAAAAAAUCAUCUGAGUGAUUAUAGAGAUGUGGGAUAUCAUGGAUAUAUCAUCUGAAGCCAUCAUGUAAUAACUCUCCUCCUGAGUAGUACUCUGACCUGCUAGAAGAAUACUAGCAACCUACUGCAAGAUCUUUCGAUAUUGGUCAUCUUCCAAUCUGAAAGAUGAAUGUCAAGAAUUGCUUAUAGAUUAAGGUUACUGGGGCUCAGUGGGGUCUUCCCCAACUGUCUCAAAAAAAGGACCGGCCUCAUGCUUAGUAGAAAAGUAAAUUCCUAGCUUGGUCCAAACUCUUGAGGAGGUGAAGAGGAUCCCUUCCUCUCAGCUCUAUCCAUCAUCAUCCUCUUCCUCACUAGUUCUAUCUGUACCUUUGUUCUUCAUCCAACAACCAUUUACUUUAAUAAAAUCCAUCUGUUGUAGAGAAUGAUCAUUGUAUGUAUAUCAGUAUAUGCCAAGCGACUAGUGGCCUUUCCCUCAAAGCUAACUCUAAACCUCUUGAACACAUGAGUACAAGCCAUCCCAUAAGGUAGAGGGGCCUUGAACCAACUCACGGCCUCAUGCAUAGCCUCAAUCAUGAGAGUAGAAAGAUUCAAAGGAAUCUCACAGAUAAUACGGUACAUAAUAUAAAUGUCUCACUUAGAAAUAAAAUCAUAUCUUCCCACCCUGAGGAAGAAAAUCUUAAUAACAAUUUGGUGGAAGAUUCUCAUUUCCAUACUAAGAUCCUUUACUUCAAUCUUAUCUAACUCACCCACAUUCUCUACACUCAUGAUGCAUUGUAUACCAAUACUUCUCCAUUCUAGUUCAUUUAAGUUAGCUCCCUUACAAAGCAUGUGCAAAUGCAGCCAAGUGUGCAUGUGUCUAUAUGAAUAUCAACAUCUUUCACUAAAAAGGCUACUCUACUAUCACUAUGCUGAAGAGUUUAGUAAAAUUCUUAGACCAAAUCAACAUAAGUGUCGACCUUGAGUGUGCAAAAAAAAUCUCAUCCUUGAUUUUUAAUCUUCUCUCGAAUUAUAGGAUCUUCUUGCUUUAGAAAUCUAAAAUCAAUAUUUCUUUCCAUAGAGAUAUUUCUAGUAGAGAAGGGUACCUUAUUUAGAGUCCUUGGAGGAGAAAAUGGGGCUUGAGUUUGAAUGGAUUUUUUCCUCCUUAUGUCUUCUUCUUGAAUAUGAGCUGAUUUUUUCUUUUGAGAAAAUCUUAUCUUGGGCACUCUAGGGAGGAGAGAGAGUAAGAUUCAUCCAAAAGAAGGUAAUAAAGUCUUAGAUCUUGAGGUAUAGAAGUGGGAGAUGGGGUUUUGAAGUAAGGGAGGGUUUAGAUCUUGAAGGUUCAAGGGCAAAGAGGAUUUGGGGCAAAUAGCAAAUAGAGCUCUAAUCAUGAGUGUUCGAGGUUGGAAUGAAAGUCUCAGGAGAAGAGGAGUCUUAGAUCUAUGGGAUUUGAGGUGGAGAAGGGGGCCUUGGAGCUAAUGGAGAGAAGGGAAGAGGGUUUUGGGAGGAGGACGACCUGUGAAAGACUUGUCCCAAGAAAAGAAAAGGGCUUCAGUCCUUUUGAAGUGCCGCCCAAAAACCAGACAUUCAGCAAUGCUUGCCAUGACACUGCCUAGCCCCAACCCAUUCCAUCCUCUUCCUCUUCUCUUGAGAAGGCCACAAAAGCCUCCCCCUAUUUAUUCCAUCAAAAGAAAAAAACUAAUAGAAACAGAAAGAAGAAGAGAGAAAGCAAGAGUCCCUUAUUUUCUUCUUCCUUUUGUCCCUCUUCUCUCCCUCCUCUGUCUCUCUCUCUCUCUUUGCACCCUCUCGACGACCACAAGAGGUGAUAUGAGAACAUACCUUUGAUUUUCUCUCUCC
rnacentral:lncRNA from 1 species